rnacentral:rRNA from 1 species
AGUGAACGCUGGCGGUAGGCCUAACACAUGCAAGUCGAACGGCAGCACAGAGGAGCUUGCUCCUUGGGUGGCGAGUGGCGGACGGGUGAGGAAUACAUCGGAAUCUACUCUGUCGUGGGGGAUAACGUAGGGAAACUUACGCUAAUACCGCAUACGGCCUACGGGUGAAAGCAGGGGACCUUCGGGCCUUGCGCGGUUGAAUGAGCCGAUGUCGGAUUAGCUAGUUGGCGGGGUAAAGGCCCACCAAGGCGACGAUCCGUAGCUGGGCUGAGAGGAUGAUCAGCCACACUGGAACUGAGACACGGUCCAGACUCCUACGGGAGGCAGCAGUGGGGAAUAUUGGACAAUGGGCGCAAGCCUGAUCCAGCCAUACCGCGUGGGUGAAGAAGGCCUUCGGGUUGUAAAGCCCUUUUGUUGGGAAAGAAAUCCAGCUGGCUAAUACCCGGUUGGGAUGACGGUACCCAAAGAAUAAGCACCGGCUAACUUCGUGCCAGCCGCCGCAGUAA